GCACGGGGAGGUAGUGACGAAAAAUAACGAUACGGGACUCUUAUGAGGCUCCGUAAUCGGAAUGAGUACACUUUAAAUCCUUUAACGAGGAUCUAUUGGAGGGCAAGUCUGGUGCCAGCAGCCGCGGUAAUUCCAGCUCCAAUAGCGUAUAUUAAAGUUGUUGCGGUUAAAAAGCUCGUAGUUGGAUCUCGGUUUCACUCAGGCGGUACACCUUGCGGUGUUCACUGUCUGGGUGGACGUUUCUGUUGGUUCGCUCUUGGUGCUCUUCAUCGGGUGCCAUUUGGUGGCCAGCACGUUUACUUUGAAAAAAUUGGAGUGCUCAAAGCAGGCGUUACAGCCUGAACAUUAGUGCAUGGAAUAAUGGAAUAGGAUCUCGAUUCUAUUUCGUUGGCUUUCGGAGUCGAGGUAAUGAUUAAUAGGGACAGACGGGGGCAUUCGUACUGCGACGUUAGAGGUGAAAUUCUUGGAUCGUCGCAAGACGAACUACUGCGAAAGCAUUUGCCAAGAAUGUUUUCAUUAAUCAAGAACGAAAGUUAGAGGUUCGAAGGCGAUCAGAUACCGCCCUAGUUCUAACCAUAAACGAUGCCAACCGGCGAUCCGUCGUCGUUAAUUGAAUGACUCGACGGGCAGCCUCCGGGAAACCAGAGUGUUUGGGUUCCGGGGGAAGUAUGGUUGCAAAGCUGAAACUUAAAGGAAUUGACGGAAGGGCACCACCAGGAGUGGAGCCUGCGGCUUAAUUUGACCCAACACGGGAAAUCUCACCAGGCCCGGACACCGGAAGGAUUGACAGAUUGAGAGCUCUUUCUUGAUUCGGUGGGUGGUGGUGCAUGGCCGUUCUUAGUUGGUGGAGCGAUUUGUCUGGUUAAUUCCGAUAACGAACGAGACUCUGGCCUACUAACUAGAAGGUCUAUCCUUUAUGGGUAGGCCUCUGCUUCUUAGAGGGACGGGCGGCGUUUAGCCGCACGAGAAUGAGCAAUAACAGGUCUGUGAUGCCCUUAGAUGUUCUGGGCUGCACGCGCGCUACACUGAAGGAAUCAGCAUGUUCUCCCCUCCCUGAAAAGGGCGGGUAACCCGUUGAAACUCCUUCGUGAUGGGGAUUGGAGAUUGUAAUUAUUCUCCAUGAACGAGGAACUCCCAGUAGGCGCGAGUCAUCAGCUUGCGUCGAUUACGUCCCUGCCCUUUGUACACACCGCCCGUCGCUACUACCGAUCGAGUGAUUUAGUGAGGACUUCGGACUGGUCUUCAAGUUGGCUUCGGUCGGCUCGAAGUUCCGGAAAGAUGCCCAAACUUGAUCACUUAGA
rnacentral:rRNA from 1 species